UACAAUUACAUUUGACAUAACAAAUUGUUGUAAACAAGACGUGUCUGUUAAUUGCUAACAUUUUCAGAAGUUGCAAAUGUUUAAAUAUGUAAAGCACAUAAUAUUAAUAAUUUAUUAGUUAUUUCUACAAUAUUGUAUCGAAAGAGUGUGAGUAGUGCUAGCAAAUUUUUAAAUAAAAUGAAUGUAAUGGAACGAAGAAAAAACAAAAACAAGUCUAGUAUUCCUUCUCAAAUGGAAAACGGAGAUUUGCCCAGUUCGUCAACGUGUAGUAACAUCAGAGGCGAUGAAAGAAACAUAUUACUUCUGUUCUUCCUGUAUACUCUGCAAGGUAUUCCCCUUGGAUUGUCAUCCGCUAUCCCUAUGAUAUUACAAAAUAGGGGAGUUAGUUAUAAACAACAAGCAGAAUUCAGUUUCGUAACCUGGCCCUUCAGUUUGAAGCUGUUAUGGGCCCCCAUAGUGGACAGUAUAUUUUCGUCACGAAUAGGUAGAAGAAAAACGUGGAUGAUUCCUUCGCAGUAUUUAAUCGGUGGCUUUAUGUUACUUCUUUCUAGUCACGUCAACAAGUGGCUCGGAGAAGACGGAUCUGCGCCGAACAUAGAAGUUUUGACUUUUAUGUUUUUUUCGUUAAACUUUUUAGCAGCUACGCAAGAUAUUGCCGUUGACGGAUGGGCUUUGACGAUGCUUAGAAAAGAAAAUGUUGGACAUGCUUCAACUUGUAACAGCGUAGGACAGACAACUGGUUUUUUCCUGAGUUACGUUCUUUUUAUGGCUUUGGAAUCCGCCACAUUUUGUAAUCAGUAUUUAAGGACGAUACCUGAGACGGAAGGUAUUGUGACUCUAUCUGGAUUUUUGUAUUUCUGGGGAAUAGUAUUUGUUAUUACUACCACAAUAGUAGCGUUUCUUAAAAGAGAAACGGAUGCAUCGAAUGUAGAUCAUGAACGUGAUUUGAAAUCAGCAUAUAAAUCUUUAAAGAGUAUAAUGGGUUUGCCAGCUGUACAAACUUUGGUUGUGAUUUUGUUAACUUGUAAGAUUGGAUUCUCUUCCACUGAUAGUGUUAUGGGAUUAAAAUUAGUUGAAGCUGGCAUUCCAAAAGAACGAUUGGGUCUUAUGGCUUUACCGUUAAUUCCAUUACAGUUAGCUAUGCCUUUAGUAAUAGCCAAAUAUACCACAGGGCCUAAACCGCUAAAUAUAUUCUUGAAAGCUAUACCUUAUCGGUUAGCUUUUGGCUUUGUAGCAGCUUUUGUAGUAUUUAUAACACCAAUUUUAGUACCUGAUGCUUCAAAUGGCCUACCAUUUUAUUAUGUAAUAUUAUUGUUUGCCUGCUACGCUCUUCACCAGGUGUGCGUGUAUUGCAUGUUUGUUGCACAAAUGGCAUUUUUUGCCAAAAUCAGUGACAGUGCAGUCGGAGGAACGUAUAUGACGUUACUAAAUACUCUUACGAAUCUUGGAGGUAAUUGGCCGACUAUGCUUGCCCUCUAUUGGGUUGAUCCGUUGACUUGGAAACGGUGUGAAGGAGGAGCUGAGAGUGUAGACAAUAUAUGUAGGAAUAACGUAGAAAAAGUACUAUGCGAAAAAGUAGGAGGCAAAUGCGUGACAGUUCUAGACGGUUUCUAUAUAGAAACCCUCAUCUGUGUUGCAAUAGGAUUUUUAUGGUAUUUAUGGGGAGCAAAGAAAGUACGACAUCUGCAGCAGUUAGGUGACAACGCUUGGAAGCUCAAAAAUAAAAAAUCCCAAAAGAGCUAGCUUCUUUGGAAAACUGAUAAGACUUUUUACGUUUGUAAAUACGAUUGUUCUAUUCCAAUUGAAUAAACCGAGAACUGGAGGAUAACACACAAAUAAUUUAUAUUUUUAUAGGGUACAUUUUUCAGUUUGUUUUGUUUAAAUUAUUUUCUUUUUGUUUGUGAAUGUUUACCAAGUGAAGAAUAUUGAAUUUAAGUUAAAUUAUGUAUUAUAAAAUAAAAAUGUAUAUCAUUUUUAUUCAGUUGCAAUGCGAAGGCAAACCUGUCCUUAUUGUUCACUUGGUACAGAGAGCGCAAACCAGCACUCUAAAUCGACGAUUUUCGACUCUAAUUGGAGUCAUCAUCAGAGAGGCGUAGGUUUGCUACUCUCUGCCCCAAGUGACGAAACUUCGAGAGUUUAUCACCGCAUUGCAACUGACGUUACAGAGUAGGUGCCUAGCGACAUAUCUUAACUGAAAGUCAAAGUUUUCAACCUUAUAAGAAUAUUUAAAAUAUUUAAAAAUAUCCAAAAUAUUCUUAAAAGAUAUUUAAUUGAAAACUUAUUGGACCAUUUUCCUGGUGAAGCCAGAUGGAUGCUGAAGCGAAGAAAACAAGAGGGAAUUCUAAAACUUGCAAUUCACGAUCCCGUGUUAACUGGUAAAUUCCAACGGAAAAUGGACCUAUGUUACUCAAAGGAGUAAUACUAAUAUAAAAUAAAAAUGUAUACCAUUUUUAUUCAGUUGCAAUUUACUUAAAUUAAAUUUGCAAUUUAUUGGAUGCUUUCCGAAGCUUCUUUAAAAAAACUCAUGGCAUUCGAGAUGUGGUGUUCAGACACAUUUUAAGAAUUUCGUGGGUGGAUGGUGUGACUAACGUUAAGGACCUAUGUACGUAGAAUAGACAAGGAUUGCGAGAUAAUAAACACCAUCAAAAGCGCAAACUAGAAUAUCUUAGCCAUGUUAUGAGGAAUGAAGGCUUGUGAAGAGAUCUGGCUUGUUGCUACUCAUUCUUUAGGGCAAAGUAUUUGGAAAGAGAGGACCAGGGAGGAGAGAAAUAGCUUGCCUUCAAAACCUGAGAAAGUGGUUUAAUACAUCGACAACCGGACUAUUCCGAAUAGCAGCAAGCAAAGUUAGAAUAGCCAUACUGAUCACCAUCAUCCGGAACGGAUAUGCAUCAUAAAAAGAAGAAGAAGACUAGUUAUUAAUAGACUAGUAGGAAUUGUCCUUGAAAUAUGGAAAAUAUGUUUUUCAAUAAAAAACAUUAUUAAUAUCCUAGGGUUAAAAAAUUUAUUAAGCGAAAAACAUACCAACGCGAUCUCGGCGCGAUGGCGAUCGCGAUUCAACUCAUCUGAAGCAAACAAGAACAUGCGUAUUAGAAAUAAAUGUUUCAUCAAAACUUUCUAAAUUCAUUCUAAAAUAUUGUUAUGCUCUGUAUUUCUCUCUUGUUGUGAGAUUGAUCAACAAAUUCUUAUUUUGAUUAAUUACUUAAUUAUUUUAAUUAUUACUUAUGUAAAACAAAACCAAAAUUAAAUUGAAUUCUCUAAUAAAUUUUAUUCUCAGGGCUAUUUUAACUUUAAUGCAUUACCUUAGGUUUGUGGCUUCUAGUAUCUCUAGUUGCUUACUUCAUCGAGGGACAAAACCGGGAAACUAAACACACUCGAUGUCAUAUAAAUGUUAUAAAUAUUUUUUAUUUAUCCAAUAUACCAUAAAUAUACGCUUUAAAAAAUUAUCCUAAAAUUUAAUUAUGUUGCAACUUUUUCUCAUCUAAUAAAUUAAGCUUUAAUUCUGAUAUCUCCUUUGUUUUAACAAAUUUUAUUUAAAUAAUUCAUUAGAGUAUUCUUACAAAAAUACUAAAAUUUACUUUUCGCCUUUUGCAUUGAUUACUUAUCUCUUCUUUAAAUUUUGGAAUGACUAAAGUAUGCUAUAGAAAUGCUCAAUACAAAAAUAAUAUGGUGUGGAUAUAAAACAAACUCUCCCCGUUGCACAAAAAUUCUGACUAACCUUUUUGUUUCUUCUUUACUUCUUCUUCCUGGAUUGCACAGCCUUCGAUUCUCUCACACUUGCUCUUAGGAUGUAGCGAAUGGUCCUUCUCGUCCAAACUGCUUCACCAACAAACAAACAAUGGGACUCGCUCGAAAUGUCUAUUCAGUUUUCUCUCUGCUCGAUAUCUUGUGCAAAUUGAUACCCACCGGCUACUCGUUCUAGACCGAACGCAGGAAUCUCCUCGGGCACAAGGAAAAUUAACUUCUCAACUCGGUCAACGAUUUCGUUUCACCACGAUCUGCUCGCAAAGGGCAAUUUCACCACUUUACACCGACUUCUCACUUUUUAAAAAACUGGACUGUCCUCUCCAGAUAUUAAUUACAUCUUCUUCUUCAGGUGCCGUCUUCAGGAGGUUGGCAAUCAUCAUAACUAUUUUAAUUUUUGAGGCAGUGCUCUAAAUAGUUGUUUUGAGCUGCAUCCAAACCAUUCUCUCAGGUUCUUCAGCCAUGAAAUUCGUCUUCUGCCGAUGCUUCUUCUGUCAUCUAUCCCUGCAUUAUGAGUCGCAAGAUGCCAUACUUCUCGCCCCGCAUCACAUGUCCGAGAUACUGUAGUUUUCUUUCUUUAAUUGUAAGUUCAACUUCCUUCUCUUUACCUAUUCUUCUCAAUACUUCAUUGUUCGUAACUCUAUCUACCCAGGAAACCCUCAUAAUUCUUCUAUAGGUCCACAUUUCAAAGGCGUUAAGUCGUCUCAUUGUCUCUACAUUUAACGUCCAUGAUUCCAAUCCAUAGUAUAGUACACUAUAUACGUAACAUUUUGUUAGGCGUACUUUAAGAGCUAAUGUUAAAUCUUUGAUACAUAGGACCUUUUUCAUUUUCAUAAAAUUAGAACGUGUUUUCUCGAUUCUGACUUUGAUUUCUGCAGAGUAGUCAUUAUUUUCGGUUAUAAGUGUUCCUAGGUAAGUGUACUUUUUUACUCUUUCGAUCUGCUGGCCCUCUACUAUCAAGAUUUCGUUAGUAUUAUGGUUGUUUUUACUAAUUUUCAUAAACUUCGUCUUUUUGAUAUUGAGAGGGAGUCCGUACUCCCGACUACACCUUACUAUUUUACUCAUGAGUAUUUGCAGGUCUUGUAAACUAUCGGCUAUUAUUACUGUAUCAUCUGCAUAUCUGAUGUUGUUAACUAAGACUCCAUUUACUCUUAUGCCGACUGUUUCAUUUUCCAGAGUUUCUCGCAUUACCUCUUUAGAAUAAGCGUUAUAUAAUAGAGGUGAUAGUAUGCAGCCUUGCCUGACUCCUCUCUUUAUUUCCAUUUCUUCAGAUGUUUCUUUUUCUAUUCUUACUAUUGCUCGCUGAUUGUAAUAGAGAUGUGUUAUUAGUCUUAAAUCUCUUUCAUCUAGGUUUUUAGUUUUUAGAAUUUCCAUGAGUUGGUCAUGUUUUACUUUAUCAAACGCUUUAUUGUAGUCUAUAAAACAGAUGUAAAGAGAACGAUUAACAUCCAAACAUCUCUGUGUCAGCACGUUGAAGGAGAAUAAUGCCUCUCUGUUGCCCAUACCAUUGCGGAACCCGUAUUGAGUGUCAUUAAUAUCCAGCUCCAGUUUAGAGUGUAUUCUGGCGUCGAUAAUUUUCAGCAGAAUUUUCAAGGUAUGUGACAUUAAGCUUAUGGUUCGGUAGUCACUGCAUUCUUUGGCAUUCACUUUUUUUGGCAAACACACAAAUGCUGAUGUCAACAUUUCUCUAGGGAUGAUUCCCGUAGUAUAGAUAGCGUUAAACAGUUCUACUAUUAUGUCCAGGUUUUUCUCGUUGACCAACUUUAUCAGCUCGCUAGGUAAUUCAUCUGGACCAGCAGAUUUAUUAGUUUUUAUAGAGUUUAUUGCCUGACUAACCUCUGAUUUGGUUAUCUCUGGGCCUACGUCUCCGGUUUGGCUAUCUACGGAUGUACUAGCUUCUCUGUGGUCAUGAAAUAGUUCCUCGAUGUACUCUUUCCAUCGUCGUAGUUUUCGUUCUAUGUCCAUUAUAAUAUUUCCGUUUUUGUCGAGCAAUAUAUUUGAGGUUUUUCUAUUUUCUAUUCCGGCUAGUUCUUUGACUUUUUUAUGUAGGUUGAAGUUGUCAUAUCUGUUUUAAAGUUCUUCUAUUUCUUUACAUUUUUCAGAGAAGUAGGUUUCUUUGGCCUCCCUAAUUUUUCUUCUUAUUUGGUUUUGAAGCUGUUUAUAGCGGGUCUUAUUAUUUGUUUUGUUUUUUCUUCUUUCAUUCAUCAACUCUAGAAUUUCCUCCGUCAUCCAUUCUUCUUUCUUACAUUUGGUUGUUGUAAGUAUUUUCUUACUUGGCUCUAAUAGGGCUUUUCAUCGAUUGUCAUUUGUUUCGAGCUUCUGUCAUGUGUCACAUAAUAUUAAUAUAGCUACGUCAUACGUCUUUGGUUUGUAUCAUUGGUAGAUACCAAUAACGUAUGACGUUGAUAUAUUAAUAUUAUGUGACACAUGACAGAAGCUCGAAACAAAUGACUGUGAAUGAAAAGCCCUAUAUAGAGGUUUUGAAGAUUUGCCACUGCUGUUCUACGUUGCAAUUAUUUCCUGGGUUUCUAUCUAGAUUUGUGUUGAUUUCAUGUUUCAAAUUUUCUUUUGUUUUUUCUGAGUUAAGUUUCUGUAUGUUAAGUUUAUUGUUGUUGCGGCUUUUUUGCGUCUUUUUUAGUUGAAGUUGAAACCUAGCAAUAAGAAGACUGUGAUCAGAAGAUACGUCUGCUCCUGGAUAUGCCUUUACUGCCUGAAUUGAGUUUCGAUAUAUGUGCUUUAUUAGGAUAUAGUCAAUUUGAUUUCUGACGAUUUUGUUGUCUUUGUCAGCUGGAUUUCCAUGUAUAAAGGCGUCGUUUAGGUAAUUUAAAGAAUGUAUUUGCGACUCUAACAUUAUUCUCCUGGCAAAUUUCUAUUAGGCGAUCCCCUCUGUCAUUUCGUUCGCCGAGUCUAUAUGGCCCUACAUUAGGGUAGCAUUUUCCUUCGCCAAUUUUUGCAUUGAAAUCACCCAUGAUCACUGUUAUGUCUCUAGAUGCUGUGAACUGUAAUGUUUUUUGAAGUUCGCUAUAAAAGUUCUAUUUCUUCUUCAUUUUUGUCAGCAGUUGGCGCAUAAAUCUGAAUUAGGUUCAUUUUUCCAUGAGUUGUCAAUAACUGCAACAUUAUAAUUCUUUCGGACACCGGAACGAAGCCUGUUACUGAUCUCUUUACUUUUUCACUGAGGAUCAUAGCAACUCCAUAUCUGUGUUGGGUGUCGCUGCUUCCAGAGUAAUAAAUUCGCCCAUUGUCUGUAUUGAGUUCGCCAGAACUGACCCAUCUUGUAUCGCUUAUUCCUAAUAUAUCGAUAUCUAGUCGCAUCAUCUCUUGCUGUAUAUUCCUCAGUUUCCCACGUUCAUACAUACUUCUUACAUUCCAUGUAGCGAUUUUGUAAGUGGAUUUGUAUAUAUUUAGGGAACAGGGAUUUCGCUGACUAACGGCCUGGGAAGCCCUGUCGUUACUGUUGUUUCCUCCCCUGCCGAAUCUUGGCAUCCGAGAAUCAUGAUUAGUAGGUUGUUGAUUGUCAUUUCUGCAAGCCAUGACGAUUUCUAGGGAUACUCCAUAAGUCUUUAAUGCAGUGGUUUCCCGUUGCCUUCUGCAUUCUUAUACCGUUGACCAUUCUGUAGGGUUCAUCCGCCUUCGAGACCGAUUUCUCAGUCUCAGGACGAAAGAGUGCCCUGCCACUUACCAACUCAUCCGCCCGAAGCCGUUGGUCAGUAAGUGGGGGAUUGCUUAUACCGGCAAUCAUUCGGUGAAGAGCAUGUAGGUUGUAGAAAGAAAUAUGGUGACCCGUCUGCCCUCGGAAACCUAAUAGUCAUUCGGUGUCGGAAGAAGAAGAGGUAGCCAAGAGAGGCCGAUAGGAAAGAUUAAAGACAUUUCACUCAAGACUAUUUUCAUAAGCGUAUGAGUAUUAAUGCACUUUGUGUUCCCGCUCAUACUUCGGGUGUUGACUACAGGCUGUAUGCUCGUCCAGCAAAAUUAAUUACAUAGUGACCAUUUUUCUCUCCUCAAAUUCAGACUCCACACUCUCAUCCCUUCCAUCCUUCUUUCUCCGCCAAUCACAAAAAUUAUCUCUACCCACUAUAUCCAUAUUUUCAUUUCUUAAGAACCCAUUUAUUUUGUAUACAACUUUUCCAUUUUGUUAAAUUCUAGGAGAUACCAAAUUACUUUUCGUUGUUUCAAUAUGCUAAACAAAAAACCUUAUAUUCUAAACUCAAUAAAUUUGUUUAUUGUCUCUCCUUCUACGAAUCAUUUACAAAUGUCAUUGUUCAUUCCAAAGCGAACUAAAUGUCCUUUCUAAUUUUUACCGCAUAAUUGUAUAUCCGUUCAAAGAACCAUUAACAAAUCACUUAACGAUUUCACUUUCCGCGAAAACACUGUCUACUAACUAAAUUAUCAUAUUUACAAUUUUUGGUCAUAUACAGGGCGACGAAAAUCUAUGAUCUCGUGGUCUCUGAUAUAAAUUUAUUUUCUAAAAUUUUCCCAUAAAAAUUUUACAAUAAUAUGUAUAGAAACCGUCUAUACCUCUCUGCGAAGUUCUGGGAACAAUUUAUAAAAUUCUCCUUAUUGCUUGUACCUCAUGUUACUACCUAUCCAAACAUAUCUUCUUUUUCUGCAAAAUAAACUGCAUAAAUGUCUUUAUUAUUAAAUGGAAAAAAUAAAAUGCCCACGCAUACCUUUUAUUAAAUUUCUUUCUUUAUCUGAAUUAUUUCGAAUAAUGAAGGUACAUACAGCAGUGCUUCUUCUUCUUGUAAAUCGCCAUCGUGUUCGCUUAGAUGUGUUCUCCGCUUUAUUAGUGUAUUAAAAUAAACUCAAGUAUAUAGAAAUCGGCCCACUUCAAAUUUUUGACCUGAACUGUAUUUUUGAAGUUAUACUUCUUUAGGCGCGAUUUCAUUGAGGGUGAAAUUUUAUUAAUCUGUGCGCAUGCGCACACCGAUAGUAUGGUAUUAGUCGUUAUACGGGCUCUGAUUGGGUGUUGAAAUGAUCUGUCAAUAAUUGUUCAAUAUGGAGGUUAUCGGUAAACAAAAAUAUUGUAUAUAUUAGUUUUUAUUGUUGUGAGGACAGAAAUGAAAUCAAAUUUAUAAUUAUAGUGACUUUUUAAAUAGUUUUGAAAAGCCGCAGGUACGUAAUUCUAAAUGUUUCAGUUGUAUUCCAAUAAAAAAUUAUCUUCAUACCUAUCUAUUUGGAAAAUGUAAAAAAAAAUAAUGUAGUUACCUAUUAGUAGGCAAUGCUUUAAUUUACAUAAUCUGAUUACGAACAAACUUUCUACAAAUUUUCAUCUAAUAUAUCGUUUUCUUACUCUAUAUUUUGUUGUAUUUUAAUUCGACAAAAAUCAAACUAAUAAUUUGAUUAAAUUCAUAUAAAUAAACAAAAUGUCAAAAAUUUUACGGUGUAAACGUUUAGUUUGUGUAUAUUCCCACAUGACGUAUACGAGAAGGUGGUGCAGUGGGAAGUCGCUUCAACUUUCGUACGGCGCGAUAGACGUGAAGUGGGUUCAAGCCCCAAGCAAGUUGUUACUUUUUUAUUUUUUUAUAGAUUUUAUGAUUUUAAGUAUAUUAUUAUAUAAUUUUUUCAGAAAAUACGUCUUUAAUUUAAAUUGUUGGCAACAAUUAUUGUUCAGAAAUCAUUUGUGGCAUUUUUCAAUGUGUUUGUGUGUGUUUUAUUCUUUUAUUUUUUUUAAUUUUUGGUAUUGUUUUAAUAAACAUUUUUGGAAAGUAGUAGAGAAACUGUUUAAAGUAUAUUGAUUUCGUUGAAAUCAUAUAAUAGAAGUAUAACUUCUUACGUGCGUACAAAGUAUACACAUUCUUUUUUUUUCAGAAACUAGGUACUACUCUGAUCAAAAAAAGGGAUAUACUGUUUGAAAGAUAAUUUACAGUUGAGUCCAGGGUUCUUUACCCGUGCGUCAUCAUGUAAACCUAUACAUAUACGAAAUAGGUCGGAAAUUUAUGAAACGUAACUGCAAGUGACAGAGAAUAGCUAUUGAUCCGAUCACGGGUAGUGUAUAAAAUUUGACGUUAUCAAAUAAAUAGAAUGUUAAAUGUAAGUUUUGCUUUAAAAUUUUGGUGCAGCAUUACAGCUACAUUUGAAGUAGCUUAAUAAAUUCUUUUAAUAACAUUAGUGAUUAAUAAAUAAAUAAACAAUUUAUAAAAAAUCAAUAAAAAAUUGUCUUUUUGUCAUUUUAUUCACUUUGGCGGAAACUUAAACACAACCAUUCCUUAAGUGUGUGAAUGAGGUUAGCUUUGUAUGUUGUAAAAAUUAAAGGCAAAAUAAAACACACCUACCAUAAAAUUUCAAACUCCAAUAUAAAAUUAGUUGUGAAAACAACUGUUUGUGUGAUAUAAAAAACUUCAAAAUGCAAAAAUUCGGCAAAAAAACAGCAAAAAAUUCAACACAAAGACAAACCAGAAAUGUCACAAAUUGUACUUAAAAUUAAAAUCAUUCUCAAGCGUCUUUUUUGUAACUAUCUCUUUUCAAUGUACUGAGUCUAGAGCGUUCACAAAAAUAAGUGUUUUUACUUAAUAACAGGUGGUAACUGGUUUGCCAUUAGUUUCACGCGUGGAAAAGAAUGAUGCUAGAUAAAAAGUAUGUGUUUUAUCUCGCCAGGUAUUAAUGAAGAACGGGUAAAGAAUCGUGUACUCAACUGUAAUAUGUUCUAAUAUGAGUAUACAUUUAUGAAAAUUUAUUUCGACUUCUGUUUAACAAGCAAAUUAACUUGUUUAUUGCUAACACAAAAAAGGUAUUUGACAAUUAGAAAUUUAACAAUAAUUAAAGUUUUAAUAACGGGUAUGACCUCCCCUUGCGUUAAUAACUUCUCUCAAACGAUUAGGCAUAGAUCUGAUCAAGUUCGCCCUUGUUUCUUGUAAGAUGUUAAGUCGCCCUUGUUUCUACUGCGACAAUAAGCUCUGGGAUCAAGUUUGGGGUAUAAAGCCUAGCUCUAAUUCUUUGUUUUAGGUAAUUCCAUAAACAGUCUAUGUCUAUGGGAUUGAGGUAUGGACUGGACCAUGGCUAUUCCAUGACCCGAAAACCGACCUGAUUGCAUAAUAUAAUCUUGCACGAUUCUUGAGGUAUGCGAACUUGCAUUGUCCUGCAUAAAAAUAAAUUCGUCUCCAAUGUAGUCAACGUAAGGUACCACAUGCAUUGCUCAAAGCUCUCCAAUAUAUCUAGCACCAGUUAAUCUUUCUCGCUUGUGAAGACGGUUACCCCUACGAAUGAAAAAAAGCUGGGUUCAUGCCCCCAAAGAAAUGCACCCCAGAUCAUGCAGGAACCACCUCCAUACGGACUACGCUCUUCAAUGCAACAUUCUGCAAAAUGCUCUCCUCGUCUUCGGUACACUUUUCUUCUUUGGUCGCUACCAUAGAGGCAUAUUCUGGUCUCAUCUGAGAACAGAACAGAUCCCCAUUGUUCCAACGUCAAGUUCAGAUGAUCCUGUGUAAAACGCAGGCGUACUUGACGAUGAGCUGCAGUAAGUUUUUGACCAAUCACAGAUACUCGAGGAGUCAGAUUAUUUUCCUCCGGUCUUCGUCUCACUGUCCACUAAUAACCCAAGGGCGGAUCCAUGGUGGGGGCCAUGGCCCCCUCCGAGAAUUAAAAAAAUAUAAAUUUACAUAUUUGCAGUUUACAUGUUUUUAGUUUCAAACACAUAUGUACAAAACAGGAGAUAAAUAUGUUUUCUGGACUAGAAUGAAACAUAAGCAGUAACGGAAGCUUUAAGAAUGACAUAGGAUGUUUUGUAAAUCAAAAUGUAGAUAAUUUUACAGUGCCAAUUCCCAUAUUCUAUACACACAAAGAAUAAAAAAGAAAUGGAGUGUUACUUGGAUCACAAGAAUAAAAAAGAAAUGAAGUCAUAAUAAAGGGAUGACAACAUUGUCACAAAACCUUUAAUAUCUUUCGCCAAACUUAUGGGCAAAGACGGAGCCAUACAAACCUAUGAAAAAACAUCAUACCACAAUGAGUGCGUUGAGGUUUUCUACAAAGUUAUCGCAACCCGCAAAAGUCGGUCAUUAACCAGAUAGACUCUCAAAAGUCUAAACAGAUACAAGAAAAUAAAAAAAGACUACGACCAAUAGUAGAGUCUAUAGUGUUCUUACGGAGAAAUACGGAAAAGAAUAACGCAGGCAAACAGAGCUUAUUUUGCUCUCCCCCAUAUAUUUCGGUCUAAAAGAGCUUAUUUUGCUCUCCCCCAUAUAUUUCGGUCUAAAAUUAAGUGUCCACCGAAAUACAAAGAUGAGAAUCUAUAAAACCUUAAUUCGACCAAUAACAUGCUAUAGCAGUGAAGCCUGGGUCCUGAAAGAAACAUCCAAAAACAAAUUCGACACAUUCGAAAGGAAAGUACUUAGGAGAAUACUAGGCCCUGUGAGGGAAAACGGAAUCUUUAGAAGUCGAUACAACAACGAGCUUUAUCAACUUUAUAAGGAAACUCCCCUGUCAGACUUCAUUAGAAUACAAAGAUUGCAGUGGGCCGGACAUGUGAUAAGAAUGGGAGAGGAUAGGCUACCAAAACGAGCACUGAAUGCUAGAAUGCAAGAAAAGUGACCGGUUGGGAAGCCACGAAAGCGCUGGGAAGACACAGUAAACAGCGACGCACAAGCCCUUUUAGGAGUCCGUGUAUGGAGAAGAGCAGCCACAGACAGGCAAGGGUGGAGGCAAAAAAUAAAGGAGGUCAAGGCUCAAUUUAGGCUAUAGUGCCGUAGAAGAAGAAGAAGAAGAUAGUGUUCUUAGGUCGGCAAAAUAUUCCUCUAAGAGGCCAUCAUGAUGAUGGCUUUCUGCUUAUAGUCCUGUCGCCAGGGGGGGUACAACGGCCUCCUUAAUUCAGAUGGACUUACCCAAGUUUUUUUUAUAUAUUUUGACCCGUAGAAUACAAAUUUUUUGGGUAACAGUUGAUCCGGAUGUCGAUAAGAUUGUUAUAGACAAAGAACUUGAGGAAUUACAUAACAACGAUUUCUCGCAAAGCAAAACAUCUUUUUGUAUUUUUUGGGUCAUUUUAAGCAAAAAAUAUUCCUACAAGUUUUUUCGUAUAAUGCAUAGUUUUCGAGGUAACCGCGGUUGAACUUUCAAAAAAUCGAAAAAUUGCAAUUUUUGAACCCGAAUAACUUUUGAUUAAAAAAUAAAGUAGCAAUUCUGCUUACCGCAUUUGAAAGUUUAAGUCAAAUUAUAUCGGUUUUGAUUAUUUGUAUUGCUAAAAAUUAAUUUUUUUAUUGUUAAACCAAGCUAUAAACACAUAGUGUUUCCCGUCCCUAAUACAUGCGUUUUAACGCAUGCUAUACUCCAUCUAAUUUACUUACCGUUGCACGUCAUCCGCGUCAUAGCCUGUGACGUCACAUGAUACCAACACGAAAUAUUUAGGCGGUAGGUGUGUUCUUUUUUAGAAUCACUUUGCCGAGUAAACUGGCAUUACAGCCACUAGACAUAUUUUAUUAUAUACGCGUAGAAAUAAUAUUUAAAAGAUUUCUAUUAAUGUCAACUUAAAGAAAUACACAAUAAUAUGUUUCUUUUAAUUUGUAUAAAUGGAUUAUAAAGCGUUUUUAUGAAGCACAUGUGUUCGGAAUACACUGUAACUAUAAUCGAACGCAGGUGAUAUUUUGGCAUAAAUUGGUAACAUUUAUUUGACAAUUGCGGUGAUGACACUUCAUAUUUGUUUAUAUUCUUUACUAUAAGUAUUUGUUUCAUUAUAUUUACUGUUUUUAUUAUAUACUUUAACGUAAGAUUAUAACUUAAUUCCUGUUUCCUAUUUCUAAAGUUUUUAUUUAUUUAUAUUGAAUAUUAAUUUGUUUUGCUGUAUAAUUGACUUCCGCAAAAAUUGUGUGAUGUAUUUGAUUUAAAAUGAAUUCAAGAAUUUUUUGUAAUUGGGCAACAAUGUCAACUUAGAUCUCUAACGUAGAUAAUGACGUGCAACGGUAAGUAAAUUAGAUGGACUGUACGUAGAAAUUGUCUCGCUUGCACUUGUAGCUACUCUACCUACUCGUUCGAUUUUAAAUGAGAAAUCAUUGAAAACAUCACUCACGCACUAGCUGUUUAUAGCUUUGUUUAACAAUAAAAUAAUAAAUUUUUAGCAAUGCAAAUAAUCAAAACCGAUAUAAUUUGACUUAAACUUUCAAAUGCAGUAAGCAGAAUUGCUACUUUAUUUUUUAAUCAAAAGUUAUUCGGGUUCAAAAAUUGCAAUUUUUCGAUUUUUUGAAAAUUCAACCGCGGUUAUCUCGAAAACUAUGCAUCCUACGAAAAAACUUGUCACAGUAUUUUUUGCCUAGAAUGACCCAAAAAAUACAAAAAGAUGUUUUGUUUUGCGAGAAAUCACUGUUAUGUAAUUCCUCAAGUUCUUUGUCUAUAACAAUCUUAUCGACAUCCGGAUCAACUGUUACCCAAAAAAUUCGUAUUCUGCGGGUAAAAGAAUAUAAAAAAAACUUGGGUAAGUCCAUCUGAAUUAAGGAGGCCGUUGUACCCCCCCUGGCGACAGGACUAUUAUGAACGAAGAUGCUGGACCUAGCAAUGAGGAGUCCAGGGGCAAUUGUCUAGGUUUAAAAUCGCAUCAGGAGAUAAGACUCUUAAACGACACCUAUCCGCAGCAACAUGCAUUAGUAACAUCAGUCAAAAUCAAUUGAUAGCAUACUGUGGUGAAGAAAUAAUUGAAAAAAUAAUGAAUCAGGUUCAAAGUGCAAAUUAUUACUCUGUGAUAUUUGACGAAACAACUGAUGUAUCUCACAUAGAACAGCUUUCUCUAAAUUUGAAAUACAUAUAAUAACAACAUUCGUGAAAAUUUUGUCAAGUUCAUUGACGCUUAUGAGAACAUAAAAACAAUUAGUGAAAAUCAAGAAAGAGGAGAAGAAUAAGGCUUGACAGGAGAAGCAUUGGGAAAUAUAGUAUUAAACUUGUUGAAAGAACUGCACCUGGAUCCGAAGAAAUGUGGAGGAAUCGAUACUGACUUUAAAAAUACUUUAAUAACGAUAACUUUUGAAUGUCUGUAUGGAACUCAAAAGUGUGUGAAAAGUGCCUUAAAACUCAUCAUUGUAACCCUACUGUUUUAAAGUUACUCUCUGGCCCGCCGGUACCCCUCCACAAAAAAAGUUCAUGGCCCCUCCCGAAAAUCGGUCCUGGAUCCGCCCUUGUAAUAACCACUCCUCUUACUUCAAGGAGCUAUUGUUGCACUAGAACGGCAAUAAGAUCUAAGGUGGCGAUGUCUGAAUAUUGUUGACACAAUAAAGCAAUCUGUUCCAGGUCAUCUAUGAAAGAAUCAAAUUUCCUCAUAACGUUGGAACACUUUUCGAACCGCUGCGCGUGUCAUAUCCAGUUGUACAGCUACAGCUCGCUGUCUAAGUCCAUUUUAUAUUAAUGCAAUAACUUUGCAUACAAUUUUCUCUUUUUUUACCUCUGUAUCUUAUUAAAAUAAACAUGGUGGACCUUUUCAGGGACUUUCUACCCUCGGUAAUAAUGUAAUCUUUCAUUCUGCGUUUAAGUUUUUCAAAAAUACUUAUUAGUUUUCUUAGGAUUCGAAAAAAAAAAUAAAUACAUUUAAAAAGCAUUGGGACGAAAUUUUGCGCAAAUUCGAUAGAAUUCGAGCUUAGAGAGAAUUCGCUAAUAUAUAACGCACUGAAAGAAGGGUUUGGUAUACACUGAAGUUCGGCCUAUUCUUCAGUUCCAGUUAGAAAUCCGCCGACACGAUCCUUCCAAUCAAGCAUUAGCUGGUAGUUCAACACUUAGAAGUAGUUCAACGCUUGCUCUGGGUAAUCCAACAGCUUAACACGUUCGGUACCAAACGCCACUUGGCUGGUACCACGUACCUAAAUUGUUCAUUUAGUAUCGCAGUACUGCCGCCGACACUCGUGCGUCGUCGGCAACCUUGACGAAACCCUCGUGACGAUACAGUGUCGUCGAGGGCAUUAAACGAGUUAAAAACGUUCCUUAUCUUCAAAUUUUUCUCUUUGAUUUUUUUUUAUUUAACUGUCUUGUCAACGUUCCGUAUUUUUUCUUAAACUUCUUUUUCUUUUACUUUUAUUUACCGAAUUCGUAACAAUUGAGCACUAUUUGACUUGUUUUGUACUUUUGAUUUGUAAUGUGAAAUCUAAAACAUUCUUUAUUAUACUCAUCAUACCAUACACCGCUCAUAUCUAACUUGUGGUAUUACCCCCGUAUAUAUUGGGAUACUUUGUGGUGGGAGAAAAUAUUCUGAGGGCGGUAAUAAAAAUCAUCAUCUGAUCUUUUGGCGGCAUAUACAAGUCACAAGUAUGCAAAAUAUGGUCAGAAAUGUUUUACAGACUUUAUGUAGACAUGUUAUCAAUUGUUUUAAAUACAUAUUGUAAACGUAAAUAUCUAUAUAGUUGUUCCAUUACAUCUUUGCACAGACGUCAUGAUUCAUUUUGAAACAAGUUUAAUCAAAACACUAAGUGAAACGUACCUCGAUAUGUACUGUCAAUGUAAUAAUUAGGAAAUGGCUAUUAUCCCGGUGGACGUAUUUUAUAAAGUUAUUUUAUUGAAGUGUUUAAUCUUUUUUCACUAUUAAGGAGAUUGAUGACAACAUUAAACAGCUUGAAUAUCAUACCCACUAUUACCAGAAAGAUAAAUAUAGAACGGUAAUAAAUAGAUUUAAAAAGAAAACAAAAAAUUAAACAGUAAUCUCGAAAAUAAACAAAUAAUUUUCCAUUCGACAGAACUAUAGCCACACUCAUGUAAUAUAAUGAAAAUUUGUAGGUUCAAAAUACUACUUGACACAUUUUCGUAAAAAAUAAAUGAGUAGGUACUUACCGGAAGUAAUAAAAUUAAGAGAGCAACAGUUAGUCGUUCUAACAAUAAUCCAGAUUUAGCCAUACGGCUCACACUCCAUCUAAGGGGAAAAUUGACUCAUCCCAGAUACUUACGGUACCAAAAGGAUUGAGCUCUGGUGGGACUCUUUCCGUGUUAUCGAGCCUUAGGUGACUUGGAAUGCAGGUGUAUCUCCGAGAAAUUUUCGUACGCAUCUGGCCGUCGCGAGUAGUACAGCUUUCUGCAUGGUCUUAUAAAGAUGUUCAUUCAGACCCAGCUUUUUUAUGCUUUCGAGGAGGGUCUUCGGAAUGACUCCAGUAGUAGAAAUAAUAAUCGGUAUCGUCUGGGUACUUUGCAUUCUCCAUUGCCUUCGUAUUUGAAUUUCUAGAUCUCUGUAUUUGGCGAUCUUUUCAGUAAAUUUACUACGUAGAUUAUUGUUGUUAGGUAUUGCCACAUCAAUUAGUGUUGUUUGUCUUGUUAAUUUAUUAACUAGUACGAGAUCUGGUCUAUUAUGUGCCACUGUUUGGUCUGUGAGCACAGUGCGGUCCCAGUAUAGCUUGUAGUUGCCAUCCUCAAGCAUACUAUCAGGGAUGUAUUGAUAAUACGGGAGAUGGUCUGUUUGGAGAAGUCCCAGCUUGAUAGCUAUCUCUUGAUGAAGGAUUUUUCCCACUGCAUCAUACCGUUUCUUGUAUUCAGUUGCAGCAAAUGCCUGGCAGCCCCCUGUAAGAUGUUGGAUGGUUUCUUGGGCUUGACAUCCAUAUCGGCAUCUGUCGUUUUGAACCUGAGGGAGUUUGAUGAUAUAUUUCAGGUAAUUUCUGGUUGGUAUAACCUGAUCCUGAAUGGCCAGUAAUGAACCCUCCGUUUCAGGGAACAUAUUUCCUGAUGUCAACCAGUAGUUCGACGCUAUAUUGUCGACAUAAUCUUGGCUGACCUCAUUGGGAUGUCGCCCGUGCAGAGGUUUACCUAUCCAGGCGCGCACUUUUUCGUCCUUAGUAAGGUGGUUUAUGCGCAUUUCUGGUUCCCUCAGUUUGAUCGGUGUUAUGUCAUCUACUGCGCAGAUAGCGCGAUGUAGAGUAGAUGUCUCAGCCUGCAUCUGAAAAUAAGUUCUUAAAUUAGCAAUUUGUUUAUCUAAUUGCUCACCUAUAUCCAUAAGUCCUCUUCCUCCUAGAUUCCGUGGUAAUGUUGUUCUUUCUACUUCACUUUUAGGAUGGUGUUUUUGUGCCUUUGUGAGGUGUGUUCGUACUUUUCGCUGUAGAGCUUCUAUAUCUGUUUUUGUCCACUUAACAAUACCAAAUGAGUAGCUAAUCGCGGAACAUGCGUAGGUGUUUAGUGCCCUAAACAAAUUUCUACUGUUAAGGUGUGAGCGAAGCAGCUGUUUUACCCUUCGUAUAAACUCAGUAGUUAUCUCUGUUUUCAUUUGUUUAUGGUCAAUUUUCCGCGCUUGCUUUACUCCAAGAUAUUUAUACAUAUCGUUUUCACCCAUGGCCUCGAUGUUCUGGCCAUUUUGCAUAUCGAAUCCUCCGGGCUUAACUAACAAUAAUUAUUAGUAUAAUUAUUAUACUUGAAAAUUAAACUUAAAAUGACCUAGGUACACAAAUACUAAAAGUUAAAUAAUUUGAAAAACCAAAUAAACAAUAAAUUCAAAUAAACUAAUAAACACAACACAUGCGCUAAUGUCACUGUCACUGAAGAUCAUAACCGUCAAAAUUCAUAGUAAAAAAAAGGUAUUAAAGACAUGACGUAUUAUUUAUCCUUGUUUAACUUAUUGUGGUUUCUAGGGACAAGCCGCUUAAUUUUGCGAUACUAGUUUCUGUGAGUAAAAAACAGACCUAGUAUAAAAAGUAAUUCGUGAAUAAUUUCAUGCAUGGGCAAAGAUAGAGAGGAAGAACUAUACCAUACCUUUCUCCAGUACAUAUUAGAUUCAUGGAAUGAAUAAUACUGUAGGCCAGAGGUCGGCAGCGUUUUUAAUGUAAAGAUUUAAAUACUAAAUUAAAAAUUCAUGAAGGGCGCCAACUAUUUUUUGACCUAACAAAUAUAUAAAUAUAAACGUAUAAAAAAUAUACGUUGUGAAUUUCUUAUGUAAAUUAACAAUAGUUUAAUGGCGCAUUAAAAUUUAUUGCAGGGCGCAGUGGCGCCCGCGGGCGCCUCGUUGCCGUCCUCUGCUGUAGGCUAUCAUCUACCUACUGUUGUUACGCUUUAUUUUAUAAAUGCAUACCUUUAUUUUUUUCCGUCACUGGUAAUAUUAUAAAUCUGAGUCAUGUUGUAAAAAUUUUACAAAUUAUUUAGUGCUUUUAAAAGUAUUUGUAAAUAUGAAUGUGAAAUAAUAUAUUUUGUUAUAAAACUGUGAGAAUAUAUAAACAUUUGUUGUAAAUUUUGUGUUUUUAGGUGUAGAUAAUUCUGUGUGAAUUUUUUUUAGUUAUACAAGUCUGCUAAAUUAAGUUUCUAAAAAUUCUAGCGACAAAGACGUGAUUUUUUAUUUAAAAGUAUAUUAAAUUCCUCAAAAAUUACCAACAUGGACUUAGCACAUCAGUAGCAAAAGCUAACCUACCAGUCACUACGGGAGACCCUGACAAAACGAAAGAAUACACAAAGAAGUUUAUCACUGAAAUAAUCACAAGACAAUACAAACCCCAUAGAAAAGCAUUGGUUGACUGAAGAAACUGUCAACCUUGUAGAAGAAAGAGAGAAACUUAGAACUUUACUUUAUAACUAUAAAACACUUAUGCAGACAAUAGGGAACUUGCACGUUUAUUUAUUACAUGAUAAUGUUCAGUUUUGUUUAAAAAUGAGAUUUCCAAAAUUUCACGCUUCAAAAACUGAUAAUAACUUAGGCCCGGUUUUUCAGUGAGAGGUUAAAAUUUUGGAUAGCUAACCUAGUUUAAAUUUUAACCAAGAUUUUAGCCCUUCUAGCGUUUUUCAGUGCUUUAAACUAAGUUAACAAAAUCUCGGUUAGCUAACCACUUUUUUUCUUCUGUUGGCUGCAGUUAUGGUGCUUGCGCAUGUGCAAUUCGAGAAAUAAUGAUCAAUUUGACAGAAAAAUAAAUGAAAACAAUUUCAUAACCAAAUUAAAACAAAUGUUAAAUGUAAUAUCAAGUUCGGAGUCUUUAUUUGGUUCAUAACAUCUACCUCGGUUUCAUAACAAAAUAGACCAUUACAAUUACUGGGACGAUUUAGACUUUUUUGUCGAUUUCGUUUGUCAAAGACCACGGUGAUAUCGCUAUUGGAAAUUAUUAGCCAGGAAAUAAGAAGUCCAACUGUUUCGUAAAUAAUUAUUUUGCUGUAUAGACAAAUUGAUAAUUAUCUUUAUUUUACUGAAAAUGGUUAGGUAUUCAUUUUUGAUAAUUAUCUUUUUAAAAUAUAUUACUAGGAAUCAUGCAUUAAAUCCUGUUACAGUAUGUGUAAACAUUGGUACCUGUUACAGAGUUAUAAAAAUAUAUUUUCUUAUAAUUCCUUCCUAUUAUAAUAACGAUAAUAAUUUAAAAUUUCCUUAUAAUAAUAACGAGGAAGAAUACUUCCCGCGAUAAAAACAAAAUAACAUAACCUAACUAUUCUCUUCAAAAUAAACAUUCUACAUUCGACUCUGACUGACCUGAUGCAUUCACUGCACCCAUGCGAAAGCGUAACCACAAAAUUCGGAGUUAAACCAUCUAACGAGUAUCGGUUAAAAUAUUGGUUACUUAAACGGGUUUAAUCUCUAACCUAGUACUGAAAAACUGAUUAACCAUAAUAUUUCGGUGAUACAAAAAUAUAUAGGUUAACCCCGCACUGAAAAACCGGCCCUUAGAAAUACAAAUUUAAAAUCUUCUGUAUUUUAAAAUAGUUCAGACGACCCGUGACGUCACAUAGUUUUACUAUAUGGCUAUGUUUAUGAUUAUAUUUAGGUAUUUUUUUCUUCUCCUUCUUUAGUUUAUUGGCCUCCACCUACUUGGGUAUUUGGCCAGCUCAUCGUCGCGGCAUAAAGGAAAAAUAUUUAUAUUUCUAAUGACAUUUAUCGUAUGUCAUUGUAAUAAUAUAUCACUUUGUUGAGAUUGGAGUUUGAUACAGUUUUUGAAGGAAAGGAAAGAAGGUUUACUGUGGAAAAUAAAACCAUUUUGUAAAAGUACAAGUUUUCUGUGAAUAGUUCAAACGAUCAAAAACACUUGUAACGUCACAUAACUGUAUUUUCUACUGACGUUUAUAAUUGCUAAUUUAAAAUUAUAUACAAUUUUGUUUACUUUGUUGGUGCAGAAUGUAAACAUAUAAUCAUAUGACGUCACGAGGCGUUUUGGGCUAGCUGUUUUAAUUUGAAUUUAGAAUCGUCUUUAGGGGCCAGACGGAACGCAAAAACAACUUUUUUAUCUUUGAUACAUGUUUUAAAUUAUGUUCUGUUUGAUUUAUAACAUUUUAUUCGAAUUUAAAAUUUUAUGUAAGUUCCCUAUUACAUGUAUAUUGUAGUCGGCUAUAACUUUCCCAGUUUUCAUUUCUUUAAUUGUGUGAAAACUCACUAAUUCUGUUCGUUUUAACAGCUCUAUUGCACCAGAAACUCGUACUCGAACAGAAGCUUCAACUAAUACAUGGCCCAGAGCACGCAAAAUAGAAUUCUAUUUUGCUGACGUCACAAAAUAGAAUUUCAUAAUGGGAGAAUCGACGGUUGCCAGGCAACAUGACGUCACUAAAAUAGAAUUCUAUUUUGCGUGCUCCCACUGCAGGUUAGCGUAGUUGCCAUAAUUACUCAAUGUAUAUUCCCUAUGUCCAGUUGAACGAUUUACGUACUGUAUAUAAUCUAUACAUCAUGGACCCUCACUUGCAAUCUUUUCAUCAUUAUUAUAUACUUCUGAUUCAUUGCACAAUAGCACUUUUCAGGAUACAUAUUUCUUUAUGAAAAUUAAAUGCUAGAAUAUGUUAGUCAGCUACAUAAGUUGUUAAAAUAGUAAAUUUGUACUUAUUUCUCAGACUUGUUUAAACUUUUAUGUUGUCGGGGUUUAUGUUAUAAGUCGGGGGUAAAGGGAAUAUAUUGGUUGUCUAUAAUAUUCACUUAAUAUUACAUAUACAUAUAUGGAAGUUACAUCGAAGAUGAUUAAUAUAAAAAUUAAUAUUAAACUCACUUAAUUUCCGAGCUGGGGCAAAUUGAGCUUUCUUAAUUAACUAUUCUAAUUGGGAAAUAAGCCACAAUUUAACUUGAAAAAUAGUUUUAUAACGUUCAGUGGAGAUAUUGCAGUAAAAAGAGAAAAAUUAACGAAGCGGCUCUAAUUGUGCUAAAUAAAGAAAAUUGUGUCGGAAAUUCCUCGGUAGAAUGUAGCAGGAUGUGGUUACCCAUAUUAAAAGAGGAAGUCAAUAGAAAGAAAAUACCACGAUUAGUAAGUCAAUAACAUAUCGAGAAUAGUACAUAUUUUAUAUUUUAGUAUUAUUUAUAUAUCCAUGUAUUAUUAAUAUUAUUUAUAAUUUAAAAUAACAUACAUAUACUUACAAUGUUGGGAUAGUAUCAAGGGGUUUCUUCGUGGUUUUUCCUCGUGAUUUACUAUGGAAUCACUAACAAGAGAAUUUUACUGUCAUCGUUGCGUGUGGUUGUCUUUUUAAAGAUAGAUCACAUGCUAUGAUCUUUUUGUGACGGAUAUUCUUGAGUUAAAGUUGAUUUCAUGUAAUCGAAUGUACUAUCUUACAAUAAAGUCGUCCCAGGAACGCAACUCAUAAAUAUUGGCAAUAUCAUUUUAAAGUCUUAUACUUUAAAAUGUAUAAUAUUAUGUCUGAAUUGCCGAUAUAAAUGAACCAGAUUAAAUUAAAUUGUUAAAAGAAUUUUUUUAUUAAGCAACAUUUUUAUUUAAUUUAUUAAUAUUUUGUAUUUUGACAACGACGUCCGAAGUGGACGUCGAAACGUUAUAAAAUUAUUUAAUUUAAAUUGUGGCUUAUUUCCCAAUUAGAAUAGUUAAUUAAAAAAAUGGCACAAAGAAAUACCUUCAGAACAAUAUUGAGCUUUCUUCUCCCUCUCUGUAGUCUUCAUCAGGACAGAACCUAUUUUAAGUCUGCCGAUCUCAGAUAAUUUAAUUUCAGUAGUAUUCUACAUAUAUAUUAAUACUAUUAAUCUUAAAUAUAUUUAUAUAAAUAAUGCACAUUUCAAAAAUAGUAAAUAUUAGAGACAACCAAAAUAAGUAUACGGAAAAUAAUGACUGCACUAGUGAUGAAAGUCAUAUAAAUUUGUAAGUUUACCUGUUUAAUAAAACUUCGUUUUAUA
rnacentral:misc_RNA from 1 species